UACGUAGGGGGCUAGCGUUGUCCGGAAUCACUGGGUGUAAAGCGCGUGUAGGCGGCCUGCCAAGUCUGCUGUGAAAGCGCCUGGCUUAACCGGGCGAGGUCGGUGGAAACUGGCGGGCUGGAGGACGGUAGAGGGGGGUGGAAUUCCCGGUGUAGUGGUGAAAUGCGUAGAGAUCGGGAGGAACACCAGUGGCGAAGGCGGCCCCCUGGGCCGUUCCUGACGCUGAGACGCGAAGGCGCGGGGAGCGAACGGG
rnacentral:rRNA from 1 species